UUGAACUACGAUACAGCAUUAAUUUUGGUUAGAUAAUCCGUUAAUGCUCACAAAAUGUUCAUAUAAUAAAUGUUCUUCGAUGAUCGUGAAUGGUUAAGUUACAGUUCAGGAACAGAUACGGAACAUACAACU